CCUACGGGUGGCUGCAGUGAGGAAUAUUGGUCAAUGGCCGAGAGUCUGAACCAGCCAAGUAGCGUGAAGGAUGACUGCCCUAUGGGUUGUCAACUUCUUUUAUAUGGGAAUAAAACUUUUCACGUGUGAGCUUUUGUAUGUACCCUAUGAAUAAGCAUCGGCUAACUCCGUGCCAGCAGACGCGGUAAUACGGAAGGUCCGAGCGUUAUCCGGAUUUAUUGGGUUUAAAGGGAGCGUAGGUGGAGUGUUAAGUCAGUUGUGAAAGUUGGCGGCUCAAACGUAGAAUUGCAGUUGAAACUGGCAGUCUUGAGUGCAGUAGAGGUAGGCGGAAUGCGUGGUGUAGCGGUGAAAUGCUUAGAUAGCACGAAGAACUCCGAUUGCGAAGGCAGUUCACUGGACUGCAACUGACGCUGAUGCUCGAAAGCGUGGGUAUCAAACAGGAUUAGAUACCCGUGUAGUC
rnacentral:rRNA from 1 species